GACGAACGCUGGCGGCGUGCUUAACACAUGCAAGUCGAACGGAAAGGCCCUGCUUUUGUGGGGUGCUCGAGUGGCGAACGGGUGAGUAACACGUGAGUAGCCUGCCCUUGACUUUGGGAUAACUUCAGGAAACUGGGGCUAAUACCGGAUAGGAGCUCCUGCUGCAUGGUGGGGGUUGGAAAGUUUCGGCGGUUGGGGAUGGACUCGCGGCUUAUCAGCUUGUUGGUGGGGUAGUGGCUUACCAAGGCUUUGACGGUAGCCGGCCUGAGAGGGUGACCGGCCACAUUGGGACUGAGAUACGGCCCAGACUCCUACGGGAGGCAGCAGUGGGGAAUAUUGCACAAUGGGCGGAAGCCUGAUGCAGCAACGCCGCGUGCGGGAUGACGGCCUUCGGGUUGUAAACCGCUUUCGCCUGUGACGAAGCGUGAGUGACGGUAAUGGGUAAAGAAGCACCGGCUAACUACGUG
rnacentral:rRNA from 1 species